GCAGACCCCUCGUGCGGCGACAUCGUGCCGAACUCCCCCAGGGCCGGAAGGCAGCAAGGGUAGGUGCGCUCUGUCGGGUGUGCGAGGGGUCCUUUCA
rfam:Xylanimonas cellulosilytica DSM 15894, complete genome.